rnacentral:rRNA from 1 species
GAUGAACGCUAGCUACAGGCUUAACACAUGCAAGUCGAGGGGAAACGAUGAGAGAGCUUGCUCUCUUAGGCGUCGACCGGCGCACGGGUGAGUAACGCGUAUCCAACCUACCCAUUACAGGGGGAUAACCUUGCGAAAGUAAGACUAAUACCCCAUGGCAUUUUAUGGUGGCAUCAUUAUAGGAUUUAAGAUUUAUUGGUAAUGGAUGGGGAUGCGUCUGAUUAGCUUGUUGGCGGGGUAACGGCCCACCAAGGCAACGAUCAGUAGGGGUUCUGAGAGGAAGGUCCCCCACAUUGGAACUGAGACACGGUCCAAACUCCUACGGGAGGCAGCAGUGAGGAAUAUUGGUCAAUGGGCGAGAGCUUGAACCAGCCAAGUAGCGUGCAGGAUGACGGCCCUAUGGGUUGUAAACUGCUUUUAUAGGGGAAUAAAGUGAGCUACGUGUAGUUUAUUGCAUGUACCCUAUGAAUAAGGACCGGCUAAUUCCGUG